GUUUUUGCCUGCCUGGUGGCGGCACCAGGUGGUAAAUUGGUUAAUAGACCAAUAAGAAAGGUUUCCAAACCUCUCAGCCAAUAACAGCUCAUUUUCAGUUUCCCCCUGCCCACUCCCAGACAGUCCUAGCAAAAUUCUUGCUUGAGAAAUUGUUCUUUGCUAAGAAGCUAUUUUUUUAAUUAGAAACAAAAUCACUAAGGUAGUUGAUUGUUAACCAGAAAUGAUUUUGAUUUUGAGGGGAAAGAAUUGCUGCAUUGAACCUUAUUAAAGUACCUCGAUGUCUGCUUGUAAAACCCUUUGAGGCAUCUCAUCAUCUUAUAGCCUAGGUCAGUGUUUCCUGACUCCAGUCCUCCAGUACCCCCAACAGCACACAUUUUCAAUGUUGUGAUUCAACUUGUCAAGGGCUUGAUGAUUAGAGAUUAGAGACGCAUCGAAUGUGCUGGUCCAGGGCCACAACAAAAAUAUGUACUUGUUGGGGGUACUUGAGGACUGGAGUUGGGGAAACACUGGCCUAUGCAAUUAAACUACAGCUGUUGGAUGGAUCACUACGACUCUUGGGGGUGUGAAAGCGAAUAGUGUGUGUCUGUAAGAGAGAAAAGGUGUUUUAAUAGAAUGCAUGCAAGCGUGUGUCACUCUCCCCAGCAGAUUCUUUCUCCUGGCUCCCUUGUUACUGGUACUACAUCUAUUUAAAGAAUCCACUCUCCUUCAUUUGCUCUCUCAAUCAUGCGCAGUGUCAUGUUCCUCCAGAAUCAACACAGCAGGGCAGGAGAAGGACAAUUUUAAAGAACCGAUUGAGACCGAGACAAUGGCAUUUAUUGAGGAUUUAAUCACGUUGACCCGUGAUGAUUCAACUCUUCAGGUCAAACUCUGACCAUUAAGAGCCAUGGACCAUUCACAAGCCCUGGGCGUAACUAGUGUUUGUGUGUGACUGUCUGUGAGCGAGAGCAACAUCGUACCCAGGCUAUUGCGCACAGGAAUUGUCUGGACCACGCGAUUAGAGUGCCAAGACACUGGAAAUACAGAAGUAGAGAAUGUUCCUUGCAUAUUUUUUCCCCCAUGGAUUAUUAGCCUAAUUGAAGACAUCCGGCUGUAAAAUAACAGAACUAUUAAGACAGUUUUGCAAUACUGUUCAUUCUACUACUCCAGUAUGGAUUACCUCUCUCCCCCGCCUUCCAACACGCGGGGUGCGCGGGAUGGGUCUCCCACCCUGUUCCCAGGCUCGUCUCGCCACACUUCUCACACUGGUAACCAAGGUGGUUUUGGAUCGUUGUCAUAUGAGGUGGGGGUCGUGUGGGCUUACCUGCGACCGCUCAUACCAUUCUUUCUGAUCAGUGCAAUGGUCGUGGCAAUCAUGUACCUGAUCCAGCACAUAAUCUACUCCGGGCCAUUCACCGAUCCACUCUUCUUUGAGAAAUUCGAGGAACGUUGGCCAAGACCCAAACCGCACAAGGAUACGGCACCCUCAAACCCGGUCCUUUACCCUGAUCCUUUUGAACACACAGGGAAUGGAACCCAUUGAACUGGAGGCGUGGAAUUCGGAUGCUUCUACCUGUGCCAUUAGAUUCUAUUUGAAGGUGGAUCAAAGGUUUUUAGAAUCUCCCUGUGGAAUUUACGAUGGAAUUCCUAAUCAGAUCAUGAUUAGAUCAGCACGCCGACUCCCCGAGGGUUCUUUCUGUCUUUGAUUGCCUCAAUUGUGUCCCUACGUCUGUUCAACAGCCCCUUGGGCUAUGUAUAACGUGCAGAUUAGGAGUCUGGACCAUAACUAAGCAAUAAUUAGACUGCACUGCUCUGUCUUAAACUAGAUGUAUUAGCCCUGUAUAACUGUCUGUGUGACGGUGAUUUAAAUUCCCGUAGGCCUUUUUAACUGUUUCAGAUGAAUACAAUUCAUGGAAGAGGGGAAUAAUUGUUUUUAUUUUGGGAGAAAAAUGCAAAUUGAUGAUGAAUAAAGUUUGGGUUUGAACAAA
ensembl:lncRNA